GCGAUGGCUGGCCGUUGUCAGUCCGAAAGAUAAUCCUAGGCUCGCCCUUGUGUUUCUUUGGGUACCCUGUUGUGUUGCUUCGCUUCGGUCUCUCCUUAGAAUUCGAGUGAUUCACAUCUUGGCCGUGCAGCAUUUGUUUUCCGUCCACCUAUCGUCAACUGAUGCCGGCGCCAGCUUAUUGUGCCGGUUUUUUGCUCUCCCUUUCCCCGUCUGGUCUCCCCCAUCAUUUUUACGGUGAAGUGGUGUUGAUUAUUUCAAAGCAAAGGAUAGACCAAGAGAGUUUGGUAACGUAUCUAUCACCACCAAGUGGAUGCAGGCAUCAAAUAAUUCAUUGAUAUACCGAUCUUUAGAAGUGAAAUACAAGAAGUGAGAAGAACCACUAUUGUCUGUUUUGGUGUUCAGUACCCCGAAUGGCCCCAUCAUGGAGUUCCAAAAGACACUCUUGUAGUGAUGACUGUGUGAUACCCUAACCAUUAUCAAGGGAUUUGUUACCGUUGUUACAGUCCCAGAGACCGCACUUAUUAUCCAAAGUAAUGCCGGAGCGAAGAUCCUUGAUGAGGUACUCGACGAAGAUAACAUCAAGUGCACUUAUAAGGAUGUACACAUUUUUUUUAAAAUGUUUAUUCUUUUGAGAAUUAAAUUACUCUAGUUGCUGAUAUAAUUUAUAUAUAUCAUUGGAAACACAUUGUAGUUGGUUCGGUGCCUCUGAUUGCUUCCUCUGUGA